rnacentral:rRNA from 1 species
AACGAACGCUGGCGGCAGGCUUAACACAUACAAGUCGAACGCAUCGCAAGAUGAGUGGCAGACGGGUGAGUAACGCGUGGGAACAUAUCCUUUUCUACGGAAUAGCUCUGGGAAACUGGAAUUAAUACCGUAUACGCCCUACGGGGGAAAGAUUUAUCGGGGAAGGAUUGGCCCGCGUUGGAUUAGCUAGUUGGUGGGGUAAAGGCCUACCAAGGCGACGAUCCAUAGCUGGUCUGAGAGGAUGAUCAGCCACAUUGGGACUGAGACACGGCCCAAACUCCUACGGGAGGCAGCAGUGGGGAAUAUUGGACAAUGGGCGCAAGCCUGAUCCAGCCAUGCCGCGUGAGUGAUGAAGGCCUUAGGGUUGUAAAGCUCUUUCACCGAUGAAGAUAAUGACGGUAGUCGGAGAAGAAGCCCCGGCUAACUUCGUGCCAGCCGCCGCCGUAAGAC